rnacentral:rRNA from 1 species
AACGAACGCUGGCGGCAGGCUUAACACAUGCAAGUCAAACGCAUCGCAAGAUGAGUGGCAGACGGGUGAGCAACGCGUGGGAACAUACCCUUUUCUACGGAAUAGCUCUGGGAAACUGGAAUUAAUACCGUAUACGCCCUACGGGGGAAAGAUUUAUCGGGGAAGGAUUGGCCCGCGUUGGAUUAGCUAGUUGGUGGGGUAAAGGCCUACCAAGGCGACGAUCCAUAGCUGGCCUGAGAGGAUGAUCAGCCACAUUGGGACUGAGACACGGCCCAAACUCCUACGGGAGGCAGCAGUGGGGAAUAUUGGACAAUGGGCGCAAGCCUGAUCCAGCCAUGCCGCGUGAAUGAUGAAGGUCUUAGGAUUGUAAAAUUCUUUCACCGGGGACGAUAAUGACGGUACCCGGAGAAGAAGCCCCGGCUAACUUCGUGCCAGCCGCCGCGGUAAUAC